UACUAACAAUUUCUUCCAUUUGUACUGUUAAAAAUCAGCAUGGUUGAUGGAAUAACCAGAUAAUGACACAUGGUAUGCCACGUGUACCUUAUGCUGAUAUUUAGGGAACAAAUUUUUAAAAUAGAAAUGGAUGAAUUUUUUAAUA
rfam:Gossypium raimondii Chr05_contig_383, whole genome shotgun sequence.